GACCGAAGUAGUCCACUCAUACAUCCGUGAAUGGAGGUUUGUCUGGUUGAAUUCUUUCCAAAGGCUCUGGAUACGUUGCUGUGCAAUACAACGGUUGUUCGGCAUGAUGGGAUUUUCUUCUUUAAAAGGUACAAUGGAGUAGAUGGAGGGGUCAUCCCCGGCCACAAUAUGACCACAAGUAUGCUUGGGAGGUGGGACAACAGUAUUGGUUCCAAUUGAUUUGGUUUGUAUUUGUUCUGUCUGUUCAAUGUGGAGUAUUUGUGGAUGUUGUUGUUUACAGAUUUCACAUAAUAGACGAUUUCUGCAGUCUCGACUUGUAUGUCCCAUUUUCAGACAGCCAAAACAGACUAAUUUUUCCUUUAAGAAGUCUAUUUUCUCUUUGUGCUUCUUCCUCUUGAUUUGUGGACAGCACUCCAGUGUGUGACCACUCUUCUUACAGAACAGACAACUGUGAGAUUUGAAAAUCACAUUCCUUUUUCCUUCAUUUGACUCCACAGUUUCUAUGGGUAUUAAUGUUGUUGCAAAGCUGCUUCUUGGACUUGACUUUACUCUUGGCUUAGGGACGGGUGAGGGUUUGACAGUUGAUUGCUUAGUGUCCUGAAUGUUACCAAACAGUGGAUCAGAGAGUAUUUUGACUUGUUUUUCGAUAAAGUUCACAAGGUCUGGGAAAAUGACACGAUGGCCUUGCUUCUCCUGUAGGUCACAGGCCUUGUUCCUCCACUGCUCUCAGAGCUUGUAUGGAAGCUUGAGGAUGACGGUCCUCAUAUUAGAAACAACAUUCAUUUCUUCCAUAUAGGCCAGAUUUCCCAUUGCAUUGGAACAACUUCUGAGGAAUAGAGAGAAUGUUCUCAAUC